AAAAAUCGUUAAAACUUUCAACAACGGAUCUCUUGGUUCCGGCAUCGAUGAAGAACGCAGCGAAAUGCGAUACGUAAUGUGAAUUGCAGAAUUCAGUGAAUCAUCGAGUCUUUGAACGCACAUUGCGCCCCCUGGUAUUCCGGGGGGCAUGCCUGUCCGAGCGUCAUU
rnacentral:rRNA from 1 species